rnacentral:misc_RNA from 1 species
AAGUCGUAACAAGGUUUCCGUAGGUGAACCUGCGGAAGGAUCAUUAAUGAAAUUUAUGACUGGAGCUGUAGCUGGCCCUUAAAAACGGCAUGUGCACGCUCCUUUCACUAAUCCACACACACCUGUGCACCUUCGCGGGGGUCUUCUUUUCGGAGAAGGCUCGCGUCCCUUUACACACCCUUUGUAUGUCUUAAGAAUGUCUACUCGAUGUAAUAAAACGCAUCUAAUACAACUUUCAACAACGGAUCUCUUGGCUCUC